GCCUUCGUGGUGUAGUGGACAGUACGCUCGGCGCUUAACCGAGAGGUCCUUGGUUCGAUUCCUGGCGAAGGCG
rfam:Stegodyphus mimosarum contig117242, whole genome shotgun sequence.